UGCCAGCCGCCGCGGUAACACGGAGGCCCCGAGCGUUGUUCGGAUUUACUGGGCGUAAAGCGUGCGUAGGCGGUGAGGUAAGUCAGAUGUGAAAUCUUGGGGCUCAACCCCGAAACUGCAUCCGAUACUGCCUUACUAGAGGGCUGGAGAGGAAACUGGAAUUGGUGGUGUAGCAGUGAAAUGCGUGGAUAUCACCAGGAAGACCAAUGGCGAAGGCAGGUUUCGGGACAGCUCCUGACGCUGAGGCACGAAGGCAAGGGUAGCGAAAAGGAUUAGAUA
rnacentral:rRNA from 1 species